rnacentral:rRNA from 1 species
GUCGAGGGGUAUAUCACUUCGGUGGUAGAGACCGGCGCACGGGUGCGUAACGCGUAUGCAACCUACCUUGAACAGGGGGAUAGCCCAGAGAAAUUUGGAUUAAUACCCCAUGGUAUAUUUGAAUGGCAUCAUUUAAUUAUUAAAGUCACAACGGUUCAAGAUGGGCAUGCGUCCCAUUAGCUAGAUGGUAAGGUAACGGCUUACCAUGGCAACGAUGGGUAGGGGUCCUGAGAGGGAGAUCCCCCACACUGGUACUGAGACACGGACCAGACUCCUACGGGAGGCAGCAGUGAGGAAUAUUGGUCAAUGGGCGCAAGCCUGAACCAGCCAUGCCGCGUGCAGGAUGAAGCAUCUAUGGUGUGUAAACUGCUUUUAUACGGGAAGAAACCCCGCCUCGUGAGGCGGAUUGACGGUACCGUAGGAAUAAGGAUCGGCUAACUCCGUGCCAGCAGCCGCGGUAAUACGGAGGAUCCAAGCGUUAUC